UGAGGAAUAUUGGUCAAUGGGCGAGAGCCUGAACCAGCCAAGUCGCGUGAGGGAAGACGGUCCUACGGAUUGUAAACCUCUUUUGUCGGGGAGCAAUAAAGCGUACGUGUACGCAGAUGCGAGUACCCGAAGAAAAGCAUCGGCUAACUCCGUGCCAGCAGCCGCGGUAAUACGGAGGAUGCGAGCGUUAUCCGGAUUUAUUGGGUUUAAAGGGUGCGCAGGCGGAAAGUGCAAGUCAGCGGUCAAACGACGGGGCUCAACCCCGUCUCGCCGUUGAAACUGUCUUUCUAGAGUGAGCGAGAAGUAUGCGGAAUGCGUGGUGUAGCGGUGAAAUGCAUAGAUAUCACGCAGAACUCCGAUUGCGAAGGCAGCAUACCGGCGCUCAACUGACGCUCAUGCACGAAAGCGUGGGUAUCGAACAGGAUUAGAUACC
rnacentral:rRNA from 1 species